rnacentral:rRNA from 1 species
GAUGAACGCUGGCGGCGUGCCUAAUACAUGCAAGUCGAGCGAACAGACGAGGAGCUUGCUCCUCUGACGUUAGCGGCGGACGGGUGAGUAACACGUGGAUAACCUACCUAUAAGACUGGGAUAACUUCGGGAAACCGGAGCUAAUACCGGAUAAUAUAUUGAACCGCAUGGUUCAAUAGUGAAAGACGGUUUUGCUGUCACUUAUAGAUGGAUCCGCGCCGCAUUAGCUAGUUGGUAAGGUAACGGCUUACCAAGGCAACGAUGCGUAGCCGACCUGAGAGGGGGAGCGGCCACACUGGAGCUGAGACAGGGUCCAGAGUACUACGGGAGGCAGCAGUAGGGAAGCUUCAGCAAUGGGCGAAAGCCGGACGGCACAACGCCGCGUGAGUGAUGAAGGUAUUCGUAUCUUAAAACUCUGUUAUUAGGGAAGAACAAAUGUGUAAGUAACUAUGCACGUCUUGAGGGUACCUAAUCAGAAAGCCACGGCUAACUACGUG